GAGCCACCCAGCUUGUAGUUCUUUUGGUGGAGGGACUGAUUCUAGAGCUUCGUACUGUCAUCGUCCAUGAUACCACUCCCUGCUGUGUUCAUUUUUAAAAGUGUUCCUGUUCGGACAAAAAGUUUUAUGGUCACCCAUCGAUGUACUGUCUGUAGGACAGGGGUAGCCUGAAUACCUGCUUCACUGAAUACCUGCUUCACAGCUCCUUUCACAUUUUCUUGUUGGAAAGACAACCGUUGGAGAAUCAUCUUGUUACCGUCAGCAAAAAUGCAAACAAAUCAAGACAUUAAGAAUGCCACAGUGGCCAGCAGUUAAUGAUGCCAGUGUUACACAAGCUUCAGCAAAGUUUUCAAGACAGUGUGCCUCACUAGCCAGAAAUCAGGGAAGAUUGAACCUAUCCUUUUUGUCUCAGCUGUUCCUUAAAUCAAUGCAUCCCCUCCAAAUUAAUGU